rnacentral:rRNA from 1 species
AUGAACGCUGACAGAAUGCUUAACACAUGCAAGUCAACUUGAAUUUGGGUUUUUAACUUAGGUUUGGGUGGCGGACGGGUGAGUAACGCGUAAAGAACUUGCCUCACAGCUAGGGACAACAUUUGGAAACGAAUGCUAAUACCUAAUAUUAUGAUAAUAGGGCAUCCUAUAAUUAUGAAAGCUAUAAGCGCUGUGAGAGAGCUUUGCGUCCCAUUAGCUAGUUGGAGAGGUAACGGCUCACCAAGGCGAUGAUGGGUAGCCGGCCUGAGAGGGUGAUCGGCCACAAGGGGACUGAGACACGGCCCUUACUCCUACGGGAGGCAGCAGUGGGGAAUAUUGGGCAAUGGACCGAGAGUCUGAUCCAGCAAUUCUGUGUGCACGAUGAAGUUUUUCGGAAUGUAAAGUGCUUUCAGUUGGGAAGAAACAAAUGACGGUACCAACAGAAGAAGUGACGGCUAAAUACGUG